GCGAGGCAGUGGGGCCGGAGGCUGGGGCCGUGGACGUGGCGGCGGGGCCGGGGCAGUAGGUGUAGGGGGCAAAGGGUCGGCAGCCCCCAGCAGGUAGUGCCCCUCCGUCCCCUCCCGCGCUGAGGCGCUGAGCGCGCUGUGGGCACUGGACGACACUUGGAAAGCACCUGGUUUUUAGCCGCACGGGUGAGAACCGUCAUCUGCAACGCUUCAUAAGACAGCCCAUCAACCUCAGGCUGCCCCAAACCUGGACUGGCCCGCAUCACACUGACUGGCCAUGUGUCGGCUGAGUGGACAUGAGACCACUUCACAUCACACCGCCUGGAGGCUGGCAGGUGUACACUUGGAGACAGACAGCCCUCUUCCUCAGACAGGAGCAUCUUCACAGCCUCAGGGCAGGCAGGUGCUUGAACAGGACUCAAAGGCCCUUCCCAGAAGGGAAAGGCUGACCAGCUGGCACAGAGGGAAAUAAAGAAUGCCUUUGACCCAGAACCACCACUGAGAAGGUGAUGUGCAGGAGGGUGUGGACGCAGUCCAUCCCAAUAUUUCCGGGUCCUGUCUUUGCGAAGACCCAUUGUCCCCACCAUCUACCCUCACGGCACCUUUGAGGUUGCCUGUGGCCGUGUGCCGAGCAUUGGAAACCAAGGCCCGGCCUUCCUGCGUCCACUCACCGGUGAGUGUGUCCUCCUCCCGUCGGUUCGGUGCUGCAUUUCCACUCUUGUGCUCUCGGCUGGUGAUUUUGCUGCUUAUACGGGCCCCAGCCUUGUGCUCGUUCCAUCCAGCAUUCUGCGCGAGAAACUGGGCCGUGCCCGGCAGAGGAGCUCCGGCAUCGGGCGAGCUCCGUUCAGGACAAGGGACAGCGCCGCUGGCCGGAGGGUCAGUGCUGGUGAGUCAACAGUGUGCCUCCAAUAGGCGGCCCUGAAUGGAAAACACAUGCAACGGGGUUCCGUGUUGACCCAUCGGUGAACAUGUUGUGACCAGAGGCUGACGGGAAGCAACUCCGAGUUUCCCCAGAGUGGCUGAUCAGCAUUCGAGGACUCAGGGAUUCUAAGCUCGUGGCGACUUUAUAGAGAGUAAGUUUAAGAAGACUGAGAAUGGGCUGUAAUUGACAAAGGAGUCACUUCCAGAAUGCAUAAAGAAUUCCUAUAAAUCAAUAAGAAAAGGACUCAAUAAAAAAGUGACAAAGACACCUAGCAGUGUCUCAUCAGAACAGCUGUAGAUGCAGACCGAUCUGGGACCAGGUGCUGGCCUCCCUCGCCACUGGGUGGCAAAAGCCACAGCAACGUAGAUACCUCUGCACCGUUACCAGAGAGGCUGGGAUGUGAGACUGCUGGUGUCCAGGGCUGGCCAAAGUGGGCAGCAGAAGAGAGGGAAGUCUCCUGCUGGUAGAAGUGUGAACUUUCAUUUUUGGAGAGCUGUUUGGGAUUGUUUUCUAAGAAGUAAAGGUAAACAUGUAGACAUGUGUGCACAAGGUAUCCAAACACAUGGACAAGAAUGUUCCCAGAAGUGCUUUUUGUAACAGGCAAGGUCUGGCACCAACACCCAAGCCUGCUGAUGUAGAACUGAGGGGCAGCACCUACUGCAGCAGGACACAGACCCACCAGUGGAGCCCAAGACGAAAUGUGGGGUGAGAAUCCAGUCACCAAAUAAUGCAGGACUGGCCAUUUCUGGGCCUUCUGGUCAGGCUGGCAGAGUCUGUGGGAACGUCAGGUUUCCUGGGUUCCCAGAACAAAGCACCACAAACUGGGUGGCUUAAACAACAGUAGAUUCUCCCGCUGAUUAGUAAAUUGAAACUCUAACCCUAUGUGAUGGUAUUUGCAGGUAGGCCUUUGGGGGUAAUUAGGGUCAGAUGAGAUUGUAAGGUGUGGGGUCAGUUCUCUCUCUCUCUGUCUGCAGGCCAGGAAGUGGGCCCUCACCAGAAACAACCAGGCUGGCACCCUGAUCUCAGACUUCCAGCGUCUAGAACCAACAGAAAUAAAUGUCUGUUGUUUAAA